GUGGGGAAUUUUGGACAAUGGGCGAAAGCCUGAUCCAGCAAUGCCGCGUGCAGGAAGAAGGCCUUCGGGUUGUAAACUGCUUUUGUACGGAACGAAAAGGCUCUUUCUAAUAAAGAGGGCCCAUGACGGUACCGUAAGAAUAAGCACCGGCUAACUACGUGCCAGCAGCCGCGGUAAUACGUAGGGUGCGAGCGUUAAUCGGAAUUACUGGGCGUAAAGCGUGCGCAGGCGGUUCUAUAAGACAGAUGUGAAAUCCCCGGGCUCAACCUGGGAAUGGCAUUUGUGACUGUAGAGCUAGAGUACGGUAGAGGGGGAUGGAAUUCCGCGUGUAGCAGUGAAAUGCGUAGAUAUGCGGAGGAACACCGAUGGCGAAGGCAAUCCCCUGGACCUGUACUGACGCUCAUGCACGAAAGCGUGGGGAGCAAACAGGAUUAGAAACCCCGGUAGUCC
rnacentral:rRNA from 1 species